rnacentral:rRNA from 1 species
UAGACUUGACAUCCCGAGCGAAACUAUAGAGAUAUAGUGGAGGUUAUCUCGGUGACAGGUGGUGCAUGGUUGUCGUCAGCUCGUGUUGUGAAAUGUUGGGUUAAGUCCCGUAACGAGCGCAACCCUUGUCCUUAGUUGCCAUCAUUUAGUUGGGGACUCUAAGGAGACUGCCGGUGACAAACCGGAGGAAGGCGGGGACGACGUCAAGUCAUCAUGGCCCUUACGAGUAGGGCUACACACGUGCUACAAUGGCCGGUACAGAGGGUCGCGAAGCCGCGAGGUGGAGCUAAUCUCACAAAGCCGGUCGUAGUCCGGAUUGGAGUCUGCAACUCGACUCCAUGAAGUCGGAAUCGCUAGUAAUCGUGAAUCAGAAUGUCACGGUGAAUACGUUCCCGGGCCU